CCUCUUCUCCCACACAAGUCACAAUCCACCAUUCUGCCAACAACAAGACUACAAAUUCCUAUAUCAUUAUCAAGGCAUCGUCUAGCUAAAGAUGAGGACUACCGUGACGGUGCUCCUGCCUCUCGUGUUCCUGCUGGUCGUGCUAGCACCAGCCGAGGCGAGGGAGGAUUGUACAUACACAAUCCUCGAUCUGAAAGGCCAGGCAUGCGAUCGUGCUAUUUGUUCCUUCAACAGCCGGGUAGCGUUCGCUCAGCUUGGGUGCCCGAAACCUUCGACCAGUUGCUCUUGGAAAAGCGAGUGCACCAGUGCGGGGUGCAACUUCACCUACUGCAUGUAUAGCUAAGAUAGGUCGGCAUGUCGAUCUGAUAGAAUAAACAAGAUGAUUGCAUGGAUGGGAAUGCAGUAUGUAGUUUUGCUCGCUGCAAAGUGAUGUGCCUGAAUGGUAAAUUAUUUAUGUGCCUACUAUGCAUAUAUCUUGUUUUUCAUAUUAUCUAAAAGAAUCCAUUCAGUUUA